rnacentral:rRNA from 1 species
UACGAAGGGGGCUAGCGUUGUUCGGAUUUACUGGGCGUAAAGCGCACGUAGGCGGAUUGUUAAGUCGGGGGUGAAAUCCUGGAGCUCAACUCCAGAAUUGCCUUCGAUACUGGCUUUCUAGAGGCUGGAAGAGGUUAGUGGAAUUCCCAGUGUAGAGGUGAAAUUCGUAGAUAUUAGGAAGAACACCGGUGGCGAAGGCGGCCCACUGGUCCGGUACUGACGCUGAGGUGCGAAAGCGUGGGGAGCAAACAGG